CUUCAGCUGCUGCACAGUACCUGCGCACCCCCGCUUCGUACAGUAUGCUGCACCUCGCCCACCUGCCCCCAUCUACCUGCCUGGUAACCACGUGCUCAACAAGUGGCUGGCAGGGAACAAGGGAAACGCUACAGACUGACAACAGGGGAGGACAAGAAAGACUGACAACACGUGGGACGAGAUGACCAAUGACACCUACUGGCCAAACAUGGAAGGGACACAGAAUGGGACAGUUAAAUAACAUUGGGAUUCCCUGAAGGGUUUGGCAUUCCCUGAAGGGUUUGGCAUUCCCUGAAGCCAAGCUGUUAAUUAUUGUACUCCACGCCACCUCUGGUGAUUGAAUUGCAAUGUAAUGAUUAUGUUGUUCUAUAAUCUUAUUGAAUAAGUGUUAUAAGUUGUUAGAAGUUAUUUUUGUAUUCUUUUAUACUUCAUUUUUAACAGUGUGAUUUUUGACCUGACAGCUUUGUUUGGCAGUAAAAAGCUUUAAGGGGGCAGUUUAAUGGCUCUAUACACAGCAAUGUGUAUAAUGGCCAAAGUGUUCUUAUUGAAUAUGCUUAAAUUAUUUUUGUAUACAUUUACAUUUUUAUUUUACAGACUUUAUGUAAAGGCAACCAGUGCUUAAAAGUUUAACGUUUAAAUAAAUGUCUUAUUUGGAGAACAA